rnacentral:tRNA from 1 species
GCGGGCGUGGCGGAAUUGGCAGACGCGCCAGGUUGAGGGCCUGGUUGGAGAAAUCUAGUGGAGGUUCAAAUCCUCUCGCCCGCA